CCUACGGGUGGCAGCAGUAGGGAAUAUUGCUCAAUGGGGGAAACCCUGAAGCAGCAACGCCGCGUGGAGGAUGAAGGUUUUCGGAUUGUAAACUCCUUUUGGUAGGGAAGAUAAUGACGGUAUCUAACGAAUAAGCACCGGCUAACUCCGUGCCAGCAGCCGCGGUAAUACGGAGGGUGCAAGCGUUACUCGGAAUCAGUGGGCGUAAAGGGCGCGUAGGCGGGAUAGCAAGUCAGAUGUGAAAUCCUAUGGCUUAACCCUAGAACUGCAGUUGAAACUGUUAGUCUAGAGUAUGGGAGAGGUAUGUGGAAUUCUUGGUGUAGGGGUAAAAUCCGUAGAGAUCAAGAGGAACACUCAUUGCGAAGGCGACCUGCUAGAACCUAACUGACGCUGAUGCGCGAAAGCGUGGGGAGCAAACAGGAUUAGAUACCCGGGUAGUC
rnacentral:rRNA from 1 species